UUCGGUUUGUAAGCGGUCACGUUUCGCUAUUUUCAUUUUACAGAUCAGCUAGAAACAAUGUCUGGACGUGCAUUGAUGCGAGCCAUCCGUGUUGCCCAGUAUGGUGGACCAGAAGUGUUAAGGGUUGAUUUCCAAGUUCCAGUACCAGUCCCUACAGAUACACAGGUAUUGGUAGAAGUUAAAGCAGCCAGCGUGAAUCCUGUGGACACGUACAUCCGUAACGGUACAUACUCAAUUAAACCUCCUCUGCCAUACACGCCGGGAGCUGACGGCGCUGGAAUUGUGUCACAGAUUGGGGCCAGUGUCACAAAGUUUAAGGAAGGUGAUAAAGUGUUCCUAAUAAGGACUGUGUCUGGCGGGUAUGCAGAAUAUACAGUCGCUGAGGAAGCUAUGGUCGGGAAGUUACCUGACCGCCUGAGUUUUUCCCAUGGAGCCGGUCUGGGAGUACCUUGCUAUACAGCGUAUCGUGCAUUAUGCAUAAAAGCUAAAGAUAAAUUGAAGCCAGGAAACACUGUGCUGGUGCAUGGAUCCAGCAGUGCAGCGGUGGUUCUGGCAUGUGUCCAGAUAGGGGUUUCCAAGGGCCUUAAAGUGCUUGUGACGGCAGGGACCCCAGAAUUACUAGACCUGAUGCUCAAACAAGGGGCCGCAGGGGCAUUCAGCUAUAAGGAACAGGGCUACACUGACAAAAUACUGGCAGCUACCAAUGGCACGGGACCAGAUAUCAUCAUUGAGAUGACGGCCAACGUGAAUUUGGAGACAGACUUGAAGAUAAUCAACAAGGGAGGCAUCAUUGUGGUUGUUGGAAACAGGGGCAACACAGAGGUCACCCCACGUUUUCUCAUGCAUAAGGAGUCGAUUGUCACUGGAAUGGAACUGUGGAAUUCUCCACCAGAAGAAUGGGUUGAAAUGCAUCAAGGGAUAUCAGAAGGACUUAAUGCAGGCUGGCUCCAACCAAACGUCCAAAAGGAGUAUAAGCUGGAAGAGGCCGGGUUAGCGCAUAAAGACUUUAUGAACAAAUCUCAAACAGCGGGCAAGAAGUUUGCUGUUGAUGUUCUAAGAAAUCAUCACAGCUCUGCUGAAUGACAUCACGUGAGAUUUGGUCAGGACUGAUGGGAGCAGUAUCAGGAGUUGGACAAUUUUCACCAUUGCCACUGAUGACAUGUGCCUGGGAUCCGCCGUGCGACGUGCACUUCCCGAGCAAGACGAAAUUACGCUCAAUGCGUAAUAUGUCCCGCAAAAAUAGUUCGCAAUAACUACCAACUUGACGAGAAUGUUUUUUUCUGGAUGAUAUCUAGUCAAAGUUAGACAUUGGGUCAUGUGGGAUCAAAAUCUUGGUCACGAGGUCCAAAUCUUACAAAACUCUUGUAAACACUCAAGUGCCCAUAAUGUUUGAUUCAAUAAGUAUGUUAAAGUUGUCAAUUUUCUUCAAUAAAAACUUGUAAAUUGAUCGGUUUUCAUUCUGUGUUCUUAACGUAUCUCCUUUUGUGAUUGCAUAAGAUUUGUACAAACCCUUUCUUACUGACAGCAUGUAGAUAGAGACAAUACGAGAUUGACGACUUUCACUUUAUUUUUCCAUCUGUCAAUUCGUCUAUCAACUAUAACUGUCCUUAAUGAACUCAGAAGCUUAUGAAGCUGUAUUUUUAUGUCACCCAGUCUAUACUGGGUGGCAUAUUGUUUUUGCCCUGUAUGUUUGUUUGUUGGUUGGCUUGUUGGUUUCCGUAAAACUUUAACAUUGGUCAUAACUUUUGCAGUAAUGAAGAUAGCAAGUUGAUAUUUGGCAUGCAUGUGUAUCUCAUGGAGCAGCACACUUUGAGUGUUGAAAGGUCAAGGUCAUCCUUCAAUAUCAAAUGUCUUGGUUGGUUUGCGUCAAACUUUAACAUUGGCCAUCACUUUUGCAAUAUUGAAGAUAGCAACUUGAUAUUGGGCAUGCAUGUGAAUCUCAUGGAGCUGCACAUUUUGAGUGGUGACACGUCAAGGUUAUCCUCCAAUGUCAAACGUCAAAUAUAUGGGGGACAUAGUGUUUCACAAACACAGCUUUUUCACCUAAUACUUAAGUAUUUUAAGAGAAUGAUUUUCUACAUGCUAAUCAAAGUAAUAAUCGCAUCUGACUCACCUGGCUUAAACACUUGAUCACUAUGUCAUAUUUUUGCAAAGAUUGAAUGAAUCGACUCCUUUCAGGUGAGUGAACUAGGGCCAACUUGGCCCUCUUGUUGAAUAAAACAUCAAUCUUUUCUGAAUUAUUAUUUUAUUCAUUGACACGUUUGCACAAUGUAAACAUGAUAUUUACAAAAAUGUUUGUUUGAAUCAAUUGAUUUUCUGAUGUUGAUAUAAAAAUUCAUAUGCAUGACCCACUCGAAUGGUUUUAAUAUUUAUAAUAUAAAUUGACUAAUAUAUUUCAGCCCAAUGAUAAAUGUAUUUUAAAAUUAGUGUUAUUUUGUGCUAAAUGAACUAUAUUAUAGUUUCAUAUUGUUAUUAUUAAUCCAUAUACAUGUAGUCAUAGAAAAUGGUACACAAUUUCUUCACGUUUUAAUUGCUAAUGGCUGUUAAUAAGCGGAUUUACGAAUAGGAGACAUUAGUUCACAUUAAACGUACACUUUUGUUUGCAUGUUAACAUGAUCUAAGUGUUCCAAUGUUUGUGUUUUGCUGUGAAAGUCCCAUAUGUUUAUAGAAUAAUGAUAAGUGGUGAGAAAAAAGAUUCGUUUUCCAAAGUCAAGCAGAAAUCAUUAUAAUCCAAGAGUUUCAUCCAUUAUACUUGCUCUCAUAUGUCUUCAUUUUUACACUUGUAUAUAUAUUUUUCUAAUAAUUUGAUAAUGCAAUGGAUGUAACUUUGUUUUAAAGUAAAAUUUAAAAAUGUA